GAUGGGUACGGUGGCGCAUGCCUGUAAUCCCAACAGUUCAGGAGGUUGAGACAGGAGGAUCUCAAGUUCAAAGCCAGCCUCAUCGAUUUAGCGAGGCCCUAAGCAACUCAGUGAGAUCCUGUCUCUA
rnacentral:sRNA from 1 species